CCUACGGGCGGCAGCAGUGAGGAAUAUUGGUCAAUGGACGAGAGUCUGAACCAGCCAAGUAGCGUGAAGGAUGACUGCCCUAUGGGUUGUAAACUUCUUUUAUAUGGGAAUAAAAUGUUCCACGUGUGGGAUUUUGUAUGUACCAUAUGAAUAAGGAUCGGCUAACUCCGUGCCAGCAGCCGCGGUAAUACGGAGGAUCCGAGCGUUAUCCGGAUUUAUUGGGUUUAAGGGGAGCGUAGGUGGAUUGUUAAGUCAGUUGUGAAAGUUUGCGGCUCAACCGUAAAAUUGCAGUUGAAACUGGCAGUCGUGAGUACAGUAGAGGUGGGCGGAAUUCGUGGUGUAGCGGUGAAAUGCUUAGAUAUCACGAAGAACUCCGAUUGCGAAGGCAGCUCACUGGACUGCAACUGACACUGAGGCUCGAAAGUGUGGGUAUCAAACAGGAUUAGAUACCCCAGUAGUC
rnacentral:rRNA from 1 species